AUACAGCCUCAAUGUCGUUUCCCUGAGCUGCUUUUUCUAUUCAUCUUGUUCUACUUCUUUGUUCAUAUAUUAUUCUGCCUUUUCAUCCAGACAGAAAAGCAAAGGUUAGAAAGAGGACAACAAUUCAAGUAGGCACUGAUGCAAGGACCAGCCAUUCAGGAAAAAAGACACAAGAAUAUUGAAACAGCAAGAAUAGAAAGAUGCAGCCAGAGUCCCUCCUUCAAUAGGUUGAUGUGCCAUCUGGAAAAUGCUUUCUUUGUGGCUGUGCCUGCUGGCUGAGAAGAGAAUAAAAUGAUUUCCUUCAGCCAGAGGAAAUGACCUAUUCAUCAAGAAGGCAACUGCUGAAGAUACCUAGACAUUAGAAGUGUUUGAAGCCC